rnacentral:rRNA from 1 species
CGCMGCUGGCGGCAGGCUUAACACAUGCAAGUCGAGCGCCCCGCAGGGGAGCGGCAGACGGGUGAGUAACGCGUGGGAACGUACCAUUUGCUACGGAAUAACUCAGGGAAACUUGUGCUAAUACCGUAUGUGCCCUUCGGGGGAAAGAUUUAUCGGCAAAUGAUCGGCCCGCGUUGGAUUAGCUAGUUGGUGGGGUAAAGGCUCACCAAGGCGACGAUCCAUAGCUGGUCUGAGAGGAUGAUCAGCCACACUGGGACUGAGACACGGCCCAGACUCCUACGGGAGGCAGCAGUGGGGAAUAUUGGACAAUGGGCGCAAGCCUGAUCCAGCCAUGCCGCGUGAGUGAUGAAGGCCCUAGGGUUGUAAAGCUCUUUCACCGGUGAAGAUAAUGACGGUAACCGGAGAAGAAGCCCCGGCUAACUUCGUGCCAGCAGCCGGGUAAAUA